rnacentral:rRNA from 1 species
GACGAACCGUGCAAACGUUGUUCGGAAUCACUGGGCUUAAAGGGCGCGUAGGCGGACCGGCCAGUCUGUGGUGAAAGCCCCCAGCUUAACUGGGGAAGUGCCGUGGAUACUGCCGGUCUGGAGGAGGGUAGGGGCAUCUGGAACGCUGGGUGGAGCGGUGAAAUGCGUUGAUAUCCAGCGGAACUCCGAUGGCGAAGGCAAGGUGCUGGACCCUUUCUGACGCUGAGGCGCGAAAGCCAGGGGAGCGAACGGG